GAGUCAGUAUGAUAAAAUAAUCAUUAAGUCUUUUAAACUUAUUAUGCCUAUUAGGCCUGAUUUA
rnacentral:tRNA from 1 species